rnacentral:miRNA from 1 species
UGUCAGUGACUCCUGCCCCUUGGU